GGUGGGUUACCAAAGUGGCCAACUGGGGCGGACUGUAAAUCCGCUGGCUUUGCCUUCCUACGUUCGAAUCGUAGACCCACCACCA
rnacentral:tRNA from 1 species